rnacentral:rRNA from 1 species
AGUGAACGCUGGCGGUAGGCCUAACACAUGCAAGUCGAACGGCAGCACAGUAAGAGCUUGCUCUUACGGGUGGCGAGUGGCGGACGGGUGAGGAAUAUAUCGGAAUCUACUUUUUCGUGGGGGAUAACGUAGGGAAACUUACGCUAAUACCGCAUACGACCUACGGGUGAAAGCAGGGGAUCUUCGGACCUUGCGCGAUUGAAUGAGCCGAUGUCGGAUUAGCUAGUUGGCGGGGUAAAGGCCCACCAAGGCGACGAUCCGUAGCUGGUCUGAGAGGAUGAUCAGCCACACUGGAACUGAGACACGGUCCAGACUCCUACGGGAGGCAGCAGUGGGGAAUAUUGGACAAUGGGCGCAGGCCUGAUCCAGCCAUACCGCGUGGGUGAAGAAGGCCUUCGGGUUGUAAAGCCCUUUUGUUGGGAAAGAAAAGCAGCAGGUUAAUACCCCGCUGUUCUGACGGUACCCAAAGAAUAAGCACCGGCUAACUUCGUG